UUCGCAAUGCCCGAAAGGGUGACGAAGCGACGCCGCGUGUGGGAAGAAGGCCUUCGGGUUGUAAACCACUGUCGGGAGUUAAGAAAUGCAAGGAUAUGAAUAGUGUCUUUGCUUGACUAAGGCUCCGGAGGAAGCCACGGCUAACUCUGUGCCAGCAGCCGCGGUAAUACAGAGGCGGCAAGCGUUGUUCGGAAUUAUUGGGCGUAAAGAGCACGUAGGCGGCUAUGUAAGUCGGUUGUGAAAGCCUUCCGCUCAACGGAAGAACAGCAUCCGAUACUACAUGGCUUGAGUGCGGGAGGGGAGAGUGGAACUUCUGGUGGAGCGGUGAAAUGCGUAGAUAUCAGAAGGAACGCCGGCGGCGAAAGCGGCUCUCUGGCCCAUAACUGACGCUGAGUGUGCGAAAGCUAGGGGAGCAAACGGGAUUAGAUACCCCGGUAGUCCUAGCCGUACAC
rnacentral:rRNA from 1 species